rnacentral:rRNA from 1 species
AGUGAACGCUGGCGGUAGGCCUAACACAUGCAAGUCGAACGGCGGCACAGAGGAGCUUGCUCCUUGGGUGGCGAGUGGCGGACGGGUGAGGAAUACAUCGGAAUCUACUCUGUCGUGGGGGAUAACGUAGGGAAACUUACGCUAAUACCGCAUACGACCUACGGGUGAAAGCAGGGGAUCUUCGGGCCUUGCGCGAUUGAAUGAGCCGAUGUCGGAUUAGCUAGUUGGCGGGGGAAAGGCCCACCAAGGCGACGAUCCGUAGCUGGUCUGAGAGGAUGAUCAGCCACACUGGAACUGAGACACGGUCCAGACUCCUACGGGAGGCAGCAGUGGGGAAUAUUGGACAAUGGGCGCAAGCCUGAUCCAGCCAUACCGCGUGGGUGAAGAAGGCCUUCGGGUUGUAAAGCCCUUUUGUUGGGAAAGAAAUCCAGCUGGCUAAUACCCGGUUGGGAUGACGGUACCCAAAGAAUAAGCACCGGCUAACUUCGUGCCAGCCGCCGCCGUAA